UUCCUGGUGGCUCAAAUGGUAAAGAAUCUGCCUGAAAUGCAGGGUGCCUGGGUUUGAUCCCUGGUUGGGAAG
rnacentral:tRNA from 1 species